rnacentral:rRNA from 1 species
CUACGGGUUGCACCAGUGGGGAAUAUUGGACAAUGGGCGCAAGCCUGAUCCAGCGACGCCGCGUGGGUGAUGAAGGCCUUCGGGUUGUAAAGCUCUGUGGGGAGGGACGAAAAAGGUGAAGUCGAAUAGGCUUUGCCCUUGACGGUACCUCCUUAGCAAGCACCGGCUAACUCUGUGCCAGCAGCCGCGGUAAGACAGAGGGUGCAAACGUUGCUCGGAAUUACUGGGCGUAAAGCGCGUGUAGGCGGAUCAGAAAGUCAGAUGUGAAAUCCCUGGGCUCAACCCAGGAACUACAUUUGAAACUGGUGGUCUUGAGUGCCGGAGAGGGAAGCGGAAUUCCUGGUGUAGAGGUGAAAUUCGUAGAUAUCAGGAGGAACACCGGUGGCGAAGGCGGCUUCCUGGACGGUGACUGACGCUGAGACGCGAAAGCGUGGGGAGCAAACAGGAUUAGAUACCCGCGUAGUC